GGUCUGUCCUCUCCUCCAGUGUAAGAAGAAGCACACCCUGGUGUGYCCAGACUUCUCCAGUGGUGGCUCCUGUCCUCGAGGGGCCCAGUGUAAGCUCCAGCACCGUCAGAGGGCCAAACGCACCGCUCCUAACCCCAACCCCACCACAGGCCCCUCCGCUGCCCCGGCUAAGAAGUCCCGCACCAAGAGGCCUAGCCUGUCAGUUGUCCUACCUGAUGACCAGGCGGCAGAGGGUUCUGCUCAGGCAGAUCCAGGGACACUCUYGUCUUCUUCCUUGGGUCCUCACAAGACCAAGCUCCCGUCGUUCAUCUCCCUCUCCAGCUCCCCCGAAGACACAGAUGCCCCGGACACGCCCCCUGCCGACUUGGCAGAGGUCACAGAGAGAAUACUGCAGAUCAAGCCUCGACUCUAGAACUACAGGAACUAGAAUGGAUACUGCCUGAACACCAAAUGAGCUUUGAAAAUACUACAGAGACGUAUGUAUUGAAUGCUUAUGGAAGCUCUGACGUUUCUCAGACCCAUAUCUGUAUCCGCUCUCAACCACACUCAGGGUCUUUUAAUGUAGCUAAAGGUUUGCUUUAUGGACUCAUUCAUUUCAUACAGCAAUGAUGUUUGUAAUAAAGAUUGUAUUGAUAUUUGAACAUGUUUUGUUUUUUUGUAAAUUGGAGAUUUGACGGAUUUGGAAUAAAAUGUAUGUUAUUACUGUA